rnacentral:rRNA from 1 species
ACCGCGUGUGCGAAGAAGGCCUUCGGGUCGUAAAGCACUUUUUGGAAGGAAUAGGAAGGAAUGUACUUCCAGAAUAAGUCUCGGCUAACUACGUGCCAGCAGCCGCGGUAACACGUAGGAGGCAAACGUUAUCCGGAUUUACUGGGCGUAAAGCGCGUGUAGGUGGUACUGUAAGUAGGGCGUGAAAGCUCCUGGCUCAACUAGGAGAGGCCGUUCUAAACUACAGAACUAGAGGAUGGUAGAGGGAGGUGGAAUUCCGGGUGUAGCGGUGGAAUGCGCAGAUAUCUGGAGGAACACCGGUGGCGAAGGCGGCCUCCUGGACCAUUCCUGACACUCAGACGCGAAAGCUAGGGUAGCAAACGGGAUUAGAGACCCCGGUAGUCCUAGCCCUAAACGAUGUAGACUAGGCGUCGGAAGUUUAAUCACUUUCGGUGUCCAAGCUAACGCGAUAAGUCUACCGCCUGGGGACUACGGCCGCAAGGUUAAAACUCAAAGGAAUU